UCGUAGAGGGUGGAUGAUCGCCUGCCCGCAUUGACGGGCAGGAGGAAAGUCCGGGCUCCACAGGGCAAGGUGGUUCGUAACACGAACCGGGGGCAACCCCAGGGAAAGUGCCACAGAAAACAGACCGCCACACUCAAGUGUGGUAAGGGUGAAAAGGUGAGGUAAGAGCUCACCAGCUGCAAGGGUGACCUUGCAGGCUUGGUAAACCCCACCUGGAGCAAGACCAAAUAGGGAGACGUUCGAGGGCGGCCCGUCCGAGUCUCCGGGUAGGUUGCUUGAGGUGUCGGGCGACCGACAUCCUAGAUGAAUGAUCAUCGUUCCAGCUUGUGCUGGAAUACAGAACCCGGCUUAUAGCCCUCUCGAGGAC
rnacentral:RNase_P_RNA from 1 species